rfam:Colletotrichum incanum strain MAFF 238704 contig1308, whole genome shotgun sequence.
ACAUACGACCAUACCCACUGGAAAACUCGGGAUCCCGUCCGCUCUCCCAUAGAUAAGCUAGUGAGGGCCGGAUCAGUAGUUGAGUCGGUGACGAUCGGCGAAUACCCGGUGUUGUAUGUC